rnacentral:tRNA from 1 species
GAAUCACCCCCAACCCUAAGCUUCUAACUUAGGAACAAAUGUUGAAAUCAUUUGUGAUUCU